rnacentral:rRNA from 1 species
UACGUAGGGUGCGAGCGUUAAUCGGAAUUACUGGGCGUAAAGCGUGCGCAGGCGGUGAGCUGGGUCCGAUGUGAAAGCCCCGGGCUUAACCUGGGAAUGGCAUUGGAAACUGGCUCGCUGGAGUGUGGCAGAGGGGGGUGGAAUUCCGCGUGUAGCAGUGAAAUGCGUAGAGAUGCGGAGGAACACCGAUGGCGAAGGCAGCCCCCUGGGCUAACACUGACGCUCAGGCACGAAAGCGUGGGGAGCAAACAGG